CUUCAUGACUGAGAGCAGAACAGAACACAAUCUUCAUCAUCACACAAGACACAACAACAACAAUGAACAGCAUCAUCAUCCUCAUCUGGACAUUGCUCUGCUGUAUUAAGGGUUCCAGUGGACAGAUCACAGUUACUCAAACUCCUGCAGUUCAAACAACUGAACUAGGAAAGACUGUAGUGAUGAGAUGCACCGCCAGCACUCCUUUAACAGACUGCAGUCCACCAUGUCUGUCCUGGUACUUACAGAAACCUGGAGAAGCUCCUAAACUCAUCAUAUAUCAGACAUCAAGCCGUUACACUGGAACUCCAUCUAGAUUCAGUGGCAGUGGAUCUGGCAGUGAUUUCUCUCUGACCAUCAGUGGAGUCCAGACUGAAGAUACAGGAGAUUAUUACUGUGAGAGUUUCCACUAUCUAAACAGUAAAUAUGUGUUCACACAGUGAUAAAGAGUCGUACAAAAACCUCCGUCAGUCAGAGUCACAGUGACUGCACUGAUACAGCUGAGAGACACUGCAGCUGCUCUACAACACAAUCAAACACAACACUAAUAACACAAUAUCAUUAGAACAGAAAUAUUAUAUUCCUGAAGAAAACAAGUCAGUGUUUUAAUAUGAUCAUCAUGUUUUAGGUGUAAUAUAUGAUUGCUGUCAAUCAAACUGAACAGAAUGCAGUCAGUCACUU